rnacentral:rRNA from 1 species
UACGGGGGGAGCAAGCGUUGUUCGGAUUUACUGGGCGUAAAGGGCGCGUAGGCGGUCGUGACAAGUCACUUGUGAAAUCUCCGAGCUUAACUCGGAAAGGUCAACUGAUACUGUGCGGCUAGAGUGCAGAAGGGGCAACUGGAAUUCUUGGUGUAGCGGUGAAAUGCGUAGAUAUCAAGAGGAACACCUGCGGCGAAGGCGGGUUGCUGGGCUGACACUGACGCUGAGGCGCGAAAGCUAGGGGAGCGAACGGG